rnacentral:lncRNA from 1 species
CUGGACUCCCCAGGGACCCCGCCGCACCCUUCAAACUUGGGCGCUGGGGUCCCAGCGACCCCACCCCCACAGCCGUCUUGAGGGCAAAUGAAGCAGCCAGGAGACCCCAGAGACAUCAAGUAGGGUCCCCUCAGGGCUCCAAGGCCACAGGAGAAGGGAGCUGUGCCACCUGGAGCUGGGGUCACAUCCCAGGAAGGCUGCCAUGUGACCGCACUUCCUUCCCCCGGGCUGUCGGGAGGGCUGCAUUCAGAUGUUUGUAAAAGGUGUGGCACGGCACCUGCCCACACAUGCUGGCCAGCACCGCGUCCUCCCCACCUCCUCGGUCAUCUUUCAGGGGAAGCUGGAGCUGCCAGUGUGUGGGUGCCGCCCUGAGGCCGUGUGCAGCAUCCUGGGGCCAGCAUCCACCCCUGCACCCCCACAGCAGCAGGAGGGCCCCCGGGGACCAGCCCAGCUUCACUGGCAGAGCGAUGCAGCCGCCACCUGUGGAGAAGCCCCAGCUGCGAGUCACGGGGGCGCUGCCCUCCCAGCCAGGGGUGAAUGAAGCCCUGGCGGCCGCGUGAAUGGGCCACUGGGCUGGCUGCACCCAGCUGGACACUCCGGCUGGCGUCACCUCACAGGAAUCCCGCCCGCUCCGGGGCCUCUGCCCAUUGCCCAAAGAAAGGUACGCAGGAGGGAAGGCGCCGGGGCGGGCAGGAGUCGGGGGGAAGGGAAAUCUCGGCAUUAGAACCCCCACUGCCUGCUGCCCAGUCAUGCUCUGCCUUCACGGAACACAGGCUGUAGAUUCCAGGGACACGGAACUCAGGCCAGCCCCGACACGUGGCGACGCUGCCGGCCCCUUGGCAGCCACCCCGGGCACACGAGGGCGAGCGGCACCUUGUGCUGUGGAUGCUUCCUUCCACGUAGUGUCCCCAAACUGGGUCACGGGACAGCGCCAUUCCUACUUUAGCAAAAAGGACACUGAGGCCCAGAGAGGGCACGCCACCUGUCCACCAUCACACAGCCACGAGGUGGACUCAAGUCCAAGUCCCCUGGCCCCCUGUGCACCUCCUGGCCCAACAGAGCUUCCAGUCCUGCUGUGGGUGAGGGGUGCUCCUGAUCAGAAUUGGAGGUGGGGCAUGGAGGGGAGGCCAAUGCCCGCUGCGAUGCCGUCCAGGAGGAUGCCCCGAGACGCUCAUGAGGGCCGUGAUGGGGUGGGGCCCCCAAGCUGGGUAGGGUGGGCAGAAGAGAGCCUACACCAGGCCCUGGGGGCAGGCAAUGAGAAGGCCGUCAUGCUGUCUGCUGGCUGGCUCACUCAGUGCCAGGCAGUCGCUCCCUGUCCCCGUGGUCCACCCCUCCCUGUGAAGGGCUCAGCCGGCCCAGCCCCAGCUCUCACAAAAGGCCAGGCUCUCUAAUCCUGAGCUUACAGACAGCUGGCAGUGGCCGCGGGACAAUGAGUCCCCCGACUAUAAAAAACCACAUUACGGAAGGAGUGGAGCCGGCCCCGCAUUCCAUGCGGCGUUUGCGGAGCGUCACUCACCCCGAAGACACGGUCAACCAGGCAAGGCCUGGAGCACAGCCCACCGCCAGCCUUGGGCUCCCACGUGCCCACGCGACACCCUCGCCAGCCACCCCCAUCAUCCAUGCCAGCAGAGCUGACAUCAGUGGCCCUGGAGGAAGAUGCCCAUCUCCAAUGCUGGUCUGCCAAGGUCUUGGGCCAUGGCCUCCCAGGACACGGCACGACUAGGCUCUCGCUGGGCCUCCCUGGGUUCAUGCUCCACCCCCGCUCCCACCCAGCCCCCCCCAGUCUUGGGAAUGCUCAAAGCUCCCUCUGCACACCAGGUCUGCCUGCCAUCUCCACUCAGGAGGCUGCCACCCCCACCCUCCACA